rnacentral:rRNA from 1 species
GGAUCCAGACUUUGAUUCUGGCUCACGAUGAACGCUAGCUACAGGCUUAACACAUGCAAGUCGAGGGGAAACGAUAGAGAAAGCUUGCUUUUUCUAGGCGUCGACCGGCGCACAGGUGAGUAACGCGUAUCCAACCUGCCCAUCACUUGGGGAUAACCUUGCGAAAGUAAGACUAAUACCCAAUGAUAUCUCUAGAAGACAUCUGAAAGAGAUUAAAGAUUUAUCGGUGAUGGAUGGGGAUGCGUCUGAUUAGCUUGUUGGCGGGGUAACGGCCCACCAAGGCGACGAUCAGUAGGGGUUCUGAGAGGAAGGUCCCCCACAUUGGAACUGAGACACGGUCCAAACUCCUACGGGAGGCAGCAGUGAGGAAUAUUGGUCAAUGGACGAGAGUCUGAACCAGCCAAGUAGCGUGCAGGAUGACGGCCCUAUGGGUUGUAAACUGCUUUUAUAAGGGAAUAAAGUGAGUCUCGUGAGACUUUUUGCAUGUACCUUAUGAAUAAGGACCGGCUAAUUCCGUGCCAGCAGCCGCGGUAAUACGGAAGGUCCGGGCGUUAUCCGGAUUUAUUGGGUUUAAAGGGAGCGUAGGCCGGAGAUUAAGCGUGUUGUGAAAUGUAGACGCUCAACGUCUGCACUGCAGCGCGAACUGGGUUCCUUGAGUACGCACAAAGUGGGCGGAAUUCGUGGUGUAGCGGUGAAAUGCUUAGAUAUCACGAAGAACUCCGAUUGCGAAGACAGCUCACUGGAGCGCAACUGACGCUGAAGCUCGAAAGUGCGGGUAUCGAACAGGAUUAGAUACCCUGGUAGUCCGCACGGUAAACGAUGGAUGCCCGCUGUUGGUCUGAAUAGGUCAGCGGCCAAGCGAAAGCAUUAAGCAUCCCACCUGGGGAGUACGCCGGCAACGGUGCAACUCAAAGGAAUUGACGG